AAGUCGUAACAAGGUUUCCGUAGGUGAACCUGCGGAAGGAUCAUUACCAAUAUAGCGAACCGAGCGUUAGCGAGGUUUCGCGAUCAAAUUUGUAUUUAAAACCCAACUCUUUAAAUGUAUAUUAUUAUUGUAUUUUAAAUAAUAAAGAUCACUUUCAACAACGGAUCUCUUGGCUCUC
rnacentral:misc_RNA from 1 species